rnacentral:rRNA from 1 species
AGUGAACGCUGGCGGUAGGCCUAACACAUGCAAGUCGAACGGCAGCACAGUAAGAGCUUGCUCUUACGGGUGGCGAGUGGCGGACGGGUGAGGAAUACAUCGGAAUCUACUUUUUCGUGGGGGAUAACGUAGGGAAACUUACGCUAAUACCGCAUACGACCUACGGGUGAAAGCAGGGGAUCUUCGGACCUUGCGCGAUUGAAUGAGCCGAUGUCGGAUUAGCUAGUUGGCGGGGUAAAGGCCCACCAAGGCGACGAUCCGUAGCUGGUCUGAGAGGAUGAUCAGCCACACUGGAACUGAGACACGGUCCAGACUCCUACGGGAGGCAGCAGUGGGGAAUAUUGGACAAUGGGCGCAAGCCUGAUCCAGCCAUACUGCGUGGGUGAAGAAGGCCUUCGGGUUGUAAAGCCCUUUUGUUGGGAAAGAAAAGCAGCAAGUUAAUACCCCGCUGUUCUGACGGUACCCAAAGAAUAAGCACCGGCUAACUUCGUG